UCCCUGUGAUGAAACCCACACGUGUCUUACGCCCUGUGUUGGGACCAGAACCUGAAAAGGUGAACCCACUGGUGCUGCCAGGGCAACAAGGGGAUGAACUGUUGGGGUGUCCAACUGUCUGAUGGGAC